rnacentral:rRNA from 1 species
UACAGAGGUCUCAAGCGUUGUUCGGAUUCAUUGGGCGUAAAGGGUGCGUAGGUGGCGCGGUAAGUCGGGUGUGAAAUCUCGGAGCUUAACUCCGAAAUUGCAUUCGAUACUGCCGUGCUCGAGGACUGGAGAGGAGACUGGAAAUUCAUGGUGUAGCAGUGAAAUGCGUAGAGAUCAUGAGGAAGACCAGUGGCGAAAGGCGG